UGUCAACCGAAGAAGACUAAUCAGCU
rnacentral:piRNA from 1 species